GACGAACGCUGGCGGCGUGCCUAAUACAUGCAAGUAGAACGCUGAAGGAGGAGCUUUCUUCUCCGGAUGAGUUGCGAACGGGUGAGUAACGCGUAGGUAAACUGCCUGGUAGCGGGGGAGAACUAUUGGGAACGAUAGCUAAUACCGCAUAACAGUAGAUGUUGCAUGACAUUUGCUUAAAAGGUGCAAUUGCAUCACUACCAGAUGGACCUGCGUCGUAGUAGCUAGUUGGUGAGGUAACGGCGCUCCAAGGCGGCGAUACAUCGCCGGCCUCGGAGGGGGAUCCGCCACCCUGGGACUGGGGAACGGGCCCGACUCCUAAGGGAGGGCGCAGUAGGGGAUCUUCGGGAAAGGGCGGAAGGCUGAACGGGCCAAGCCGGGGGGGGGGAGAAGGUUUUCGGAUCGUAAAGAUCUGGUGUAAGGGGAGAAAGAGAGGGGGAGGGGACUGUGCACGUCGUGACGGUACCUUACCAGAAAGGGACGGCUAACUACGUG
rnacentral:rRNA from 1 species